CCUACGGGUGGCAGCAGUGGGGGAUAUUGCACAAUGGGGGAAACCCUGAUGCAGCGACGCCGCGUGUGGGAAGACGGUCCUCUGGAUUGUAAACCACUGUCCCCAGGGACGAAGAUGACGGUACCUGGGGAGGAAGCUCCGGCUAACUACGUGCCAGCAGCCGCGGUAAUACGUAGGGAGCGAGCGUUUUCCGGAAUUACUGGGGGUAUAGGGAGCGUAGGCGGGGAUGCAAGUUGGGUGUCAAAACUACCGGCUCAACUGGUAGUCGCACUCAAAACUGCAGCUCGUGAGUGAAGGAGAGGCAGGGGGAAUUCCUAGGGUAGCGGUGAAAUGCGUAGAUAUUGGGAGGAACACCAGUGGCGAAGGCGGCCUGCUGGGCGUUUACUGACGCUGAGGCUCGAAAGUGUGGGGAGCAAACAGGAUUAGAUACCCGUGUAGUC
rnacentral:rRNA from 1 species